rnacentral:rRNA from 1 species
GACGAACGCUGGCGGCGUGCCUAACGCAUGCAAGUCAACUUGACUGAAGGAGCAAUCUGACAGUAGAGUGGCGCAAGGGUGCGUAACGCGUAAGUAACUUGCCCCAAGGUAAGGAAUAACGUCGAGAAAUCGGCGCUAAUACCUCAUAAUGCAGCGGAUCCGCAUGGAUAUGUUGUUAAAGGUUUACCGCCUUGGGAUAGGCUUGCGUCUGAUUAGCUAGUUGGUGUGGUAACGGCACACCAAGGCUACGAUCAGUAACUGGUCUGAGAGGAUGAUCAGUCACACUGGAACUGAGACACGGUCCAGACUCCUACGGGAGGCAGCAGUGAGGAAUAUUGGGCAAUGCUCGAAAGAGUGACCCAGCAACGCCGCGUGGAGGAUGAAGGUAUUCUAUAUCGUAAACUCCUGUGAGAGCAGACGAAAGACAGAUUAUUAAUCUGGAUGACUGUAUGCUCAGAGGAAGCCCCGGCUAACUAC